CUUAUUAUGGACUAAAUUCUAAUCGUUUACAUCCUAAUUCUGUCCCCAACCUAUGGAGAUGAUUGUAGGCCAGAAGUCCUUUUGUUGGCAAUGCACCAUUUGUGGGAGAUCCACAUUUUAAAGGCCAUGAGUUUUGUAAACUUUCAACCCAUCAUUUCAAGCCAAAAAUAGUAAAUAAAAGAUUGUUUUAAAAGCUUGAAGGCACAUUGUUUAACACAUAAAAAUUUCUUGGGCUUUUUGUACCAGCAUUUUGUAAUCUUCAGAUAUGGGAGACCCGGAGGAAAACCUUAAAAAGGAAGAGAAACAUGGAGACAAGGAAGGAAAAGGAGAAAAGUCUAAAGACAAGAAAAAGAAGAAGGAGAAAAAAGAAAAGAAUCCCGAAGAUAAGAACGAUCCGACCAAGCUAAAGGCCAAGCUUGAAAAGCUUGAUUCGAAGAUUCAAGCACUUAACGUCAAACGAGAAGAACUCGUCAAACUUAUCGAGCAAGCUCAAGCCAAUGCUCCAGCGCCUGCCUGAAGCUAGGGCACAAGCGUGAGCCUCGUGAGAGAAGUUGCAACUUGUAAGAUUAAAAAAUUAUAUGUAUAUGUGUAAUUAAAAAAUGUUUUCUCACUAACUAUUUUGUUUAUAUUUGAAUGGUUAUAUAAGAAAUGACACUUAAUAUUA